GACGAACGCUGGCGGCGUGCUUAACACAUGCAAGUCGAGCGAUGAAGCACCUUCGGGUGUGGAUUAGCGGCGAACGGGUGAGGAACACGUGAGGAAUCUGCCUUCCACUCUGGGAUAACUCCGGGAAACCGGGGCUAAUACCGGAUAUUUUCAACUGGCGGCAUCGCCGGUUGAAGAAAGUUUUUCGGUGUAAGAUGACCUCGCGGCCUAUCAGCUUGUUGGUGAGGUAAAGGCUCACCAAGGCGACGACGGGUAGCCGGCCUGAGAGGGUGACCGGCCGCACUGGGACUGGGACACGGCCCAGACUCCUACGGGAGGGAGCAGUGGGGAAUAUUGGGCAAUGGAGGAACCUCUGACCCAGCGACGCCGCGUGAGGGAUGAAGGCCUUCGGGUUGUAAACCUCUUUCAGCAGGGAAUAAGCGAAAGUGAAGGUACCUGCAGAAGAAGCACCGGCUAACUAUGUGCCAGCCGCCGCGGUAA
rnacentral:rRNA from 1 species